CUCUUAUACACUUAAUCAAGUGGUUAGAUCACAACAAAAUCUAACUCAACUUACUUGCCAUUCAUCAAAACCUGAGUUAGACUGUCAGUGCAAACUGCACCAACAGUAUCAUGGUGCAUAUUGUAUAUAGAUGAUAUUGUUUUGAUAGAUAAGACACAUGAAUGAGUAAAUGUUAAACUAGAAUCUCAGCGGAAAACACUAGAAAUAAAAGAUUUUAGGCUUAGUAUGAAAUUUAGCAAUAUUAGACGUAAUGAGAUAAUUGUUAAGAUAGGAGACGAUGAGUUGUCUGGAACUGAGAGCUUUAAGUAUUUAGGAUCAUUUUUGUAAAAUGAUAGAGGGAUUGAGAUAUAUAUCUUACGUAAAAUACAAGCAGGAUUGUUGAAAUGGAGGUAAGUGUCAGGUAUUUUAUAUGUUUGUAAAGUACCUCUACAACUUAAAAGGAAGUUCUACAAAAUGACAGACUUGCUAUGUUAUAUGACUCCAAAUAUUGGGCUAUGACUUAGGCACAUGAGUAGAAGAUGAAAGUUGCAUAGAUGAGGAUGCUAAAUUGGAUGUGUGGACAUACGAGGAUGGACAUAAUAAGGAAUGAGAGCAUUAGAGAGAAAGUCAAAAUUGCAUCUAUUGAGAAAAAACUUCGAAAGACAUGUUUAAGAUGUUGCAAACAUAUACUUAGACGAUCAAUAAAUGUCCUAAUUAGGCGAUACAAAACUAUGACAAAUACAUACAUCAAACGAGGGAGAGGAAGGUCUUAGUUAGCAACAAUAAAAUAAAAUAAAAUCUAUUUAAAUAUAUACGAUGAUAUAAGAGGGGAUAGAGCACAAUGGCGUAGAAGGAUCCACCGACCCCACCUAGUGGGAUAAGCAUUGGUUGUUGUUGUUGUUGUAGUAUCCAAAGAAAUUAACUUCCCAGACACAUUUUCAAUUUAUUUCAGUUCUUAUGAAAAUGAAAAGUUGAAAUUUGGUGAAAAUUGAAAAACCAAAAAAGGUCUAAAUAUCCCAAUAACUGACAUCGUUAUCCUUGUUUUUAUUUUACAGGCUGUUGCACUAGUCCAAGUCUAUACUGAUGGGAUCAUGGGACAGUUCCUGUGACACAUGUACGUGUUGAGAUGGGAUAGGGCCUACAUACAAAAGUUGCAGAGAUAGUUGCAUCAUCCUUCAAUAUUCCUCUUAGUUUUGUAUAUAUAUCAGAAACGAGUACAGAUAAGGCAUAUUUUUCUUAAGUUUGUCAUGGGAUAUUAGAAGGUUCCUAAUGCAUCACCAACAGCAGAUGCUGCCAACUCGGACAUGUAUGGUGCUGCUGUUUUUUAUGCUUGUGAUCAGAUAAAAGCACGAAUGAAACAUAUUGCUGCUUGGAAUCCACAUUCUUCUUUUGCCGAGUUAACAAAAGCAUGCCAUAUGGAAAGGAUAGACCUCUCUGCUCAUGGCUUUUACAUUACACCUGACAUUGGUUUUGACUGGGAAGAUGGAAAGGGUUCACCAUUCAGUUAUUUCACCUUUGAAGUUGCAUUUGCAGAAGUUAAGAGACACUCACUGGAAAUUUUUACACAAGGGAAGCUGACAUUAUCAUGGACCUUGGCCAUUCCCUUAAUCCAGCUAUUGAUGUUGAACAGGUUGGAUAGCACUUGAGGAGUUAAAAUGGGGUGAUUCAGAUCACAAGUGGAUUAGGCCAGGCCACUCAUACACUUCUGGACCUGGAACUUACAAAAUUCCUACUGCAAAUGAUAUUCCUCUAAAACUGAAGGUUUCGCUGUUGAAGGGCGUUCAGAAUACCGAAGCAAUUCACUCUUCAAAGGCUGUUGGGGAGCCACCACUUUUCCUUGCCUCUGCAGUGCUGUUUGCUAUCAAAGAUGCGAUCAUGGCUGUCCGAGCUGAAGAAGGCUAUCACGACUGGUUUCCACUCGAUGAUCCAGCAACUC